CUGCAUGGCUGUCGUCAGCUCGUGUCGUGAGAUGUUGGGUUAAGUCCCGCAACGAGCGCAACCCUUGUCAUUAGUUGCUACAUUCAGUUGGGCACUCUAAUGAGACUGCCGGUGACAACCGGAGGAAGGUGGGGAUGACGUCAAGUCCUCAUGGCCCUUAUAGGUGGGGCUACACACGUCAUACAAUGGAUGGUACAAAGGGUCGCCAACCCGCGAGGGGGAGCCAAUCCCAUAAAGCCAUUCGUAGUCCGGAUCGCAGUCUGCAACUCGACUGCGUGAAGUCGGAAUCGCUAGUAAUCGUGGAUCAGAAUGUCACGGUGAAUACGUUCCCGGGUCUU
rnacentral:rRNA from 1 species